UGCGCGGGUGGCGGAAUAGGCAGACGCGCUAGCUUGAGGUGCUAGUCCUCGUAUUAGAGGGUGGGGGUUCAAGUCCCCCCUCGCGCACAGA
rnacentral:tRNA from 1 species